CAUGCGCAGUAUGUUCCGGUGACGUGCUCAGUAGACGGGUCCAUUCCGUGAACAAGGAAAAGGGAGUCAGACAAAUAUUUGGGUGGUUCUGGUAUCUUCAACCUUUGGUAUGCAAAUAUGAAGAACCCAUGCUAUAUGGAAAUGCAAACGAUUACGGGUCUUCAACUUUGACAUAUUACCCAGGGUUUCUUUCAACCGCACAUGCGUGGUAACUAGUGUGAGAAGGCUUGUAGAUGAGACAAAAUGCAGCAAGUUGGAAAGAUAUCAGCGGACGUAAUGUUGGAAACGGCGAAAACUGUAUCCCAACCGCAGACAAGAUUCUCCAAGAGAAAUUCUGUCGAGCCCAUUCUGAUGGACCGAUCAAGAACAGCCAAGACGGGACUCCACAGCACAUCCUGGUCAAGUGAAACAGCUAUCAAGACAAGGUCAAGAUAAUGAAAGUACCAAGAGCUAAGCUGAAAAAUGGGCACUUCUACUUUACGGAUGGCCAUACAGCUGCCGAUCUGCAAGAAAAAAAUUGUUACUGGGAAGGUGACUCUCCGUUCUGCAGCCACAGCGGCUGCAAAAGAGGCUACCGUGCCGUUGCGAGUAGCGACUGUGGGGACGGAGCUUGCUGCUUUACAGGCAGCAAAAUCUACUGUUGUGCCGGAUAAGCCCAGUUUCCUCGAUUGGAUGAAUUUUGUCAUCUCCUUUUCUUUUAGUAACGCUAUUUCCCCUUUAUCCGUGGGAUAACCUAUUUCCGUUGUUUUUCAAACCAGGGUAUUUAGGUAUAUCAAGUCGAUGAACAGUGGUUUCAAGCUGCAAUAUUUUCAAAAUACCGUAAUUUGAAACCAGCGUCCGUCGACUUGAUAUCCCUAAAUACUCUAUUCUUAAAAACAACGGAUAUAGGUUACCCCGCGGAUAAAGGUGAAUGAGCGUUACAAAUUGUAAAAUAUAAGUUGAAACAUCUACUUGAAGACUUGGACUUGCUGACAAAGAAUAGCUUUUAUUCACUUGCUGUUUAAUGUUAUUACCAUGCAGUUUCCAAAAUUACAUCUAGCUGCUUGAGUAACUGUUUUUGGCAUAUCUUAUUACCCGGAUGUCUAACCUUCAUCGACGUUAUGUAACGUUACCAUACUUUGUGACACAUAUUGUACACGCAAACAAAUCCCAAGAAAUGGCUAGGAAUCUUAGAAUCAACUUGAAUAUCUGUUACAAAUUCAUCAAGACUUUUCACCUGGCAUAAUUCAUAGAAUCCAGAAGAACGAUAUUAUUUUUUGAUACAGCACAUUUGAAGGCCCUAUAAUUAAGUGGUUUAUUGUGCUUAGAAUCAAAAUGCGAGUUAUUGUGGCAAUGAGUAAAGGGUUAAUGUACGUAUGAAUGGUAAUAAUUCCAGAUCUUUUUUAUGCUUAAGAUCAACACAUAUACAAUUGUGAUGAUAAAUCUUUAUUGUAGAAUUAAAACAUAUGAAGGAUGUUUAUUAUUAGUUUUUUUAAUGUAAAUGCUGUUGCACCGGGAUGCAUAUAUACAUCAUAAAUGUAUAUAUCACGACAGUUAAAUUCUGCUAUCUUUUCUUUCCACUUUGAAGUUGUAUUUAGUUUGUUUUCAAAUUUUCUUAAGAGCCCACUGAUGUAUACUCUUUAUUGUACAUUCCUAUGGAUAAUGCGUAAUAUUUUUUAUGUCUAGGUCUAUUAUCUGUAUCAAUGUAUAUACAUGUAUGUGUAUGCAUGGAGUUGGUUUUUAUUGCAUUUUUGAUCUAGUCUUUAGCGUGUUUUGAGGGGCUAUUUGUAAAAGUGACUUUGCACCUGUUUCAUCCCUCUUCACAUUUUACUUGUGAUGAAUUUGAAGCAAGAAAG